GACAACGCUGGCGGCGUGCUUAACACAUGCAAGUCGAACGGUGAUCUUGAGAGCUUGCUCUUGGGUGAUCAGUGGCGAAACGGGUGAGUAACACGUGAGUAACCUGCCCCUGACUCUGGAAUAACUUCGGGAAACCGAAGCUAAUACCGGAUAUGACACAGAGCCGCAUGGUUUCUGUGUGGAAAGUUUUUCGGUUGGGGAUGGACUCGCGGCCUAUCAGCUUGUUGGUGAGGUAAUGGCUCACCAAGGCGACGACGGGUAGCCGGCCUGAGAGGGCGACCGGCCACACUGGGACUGAGACACGGCCCAGACUCCUACGGGAGGCAGCAGUGGGGAAUAUUGCACAAUGGGCGAAAGCCUGAUGCAGCGACGCCGCGUGAGGGAUGAAGGCCUUCGGGUUGUAAACCUCUUUCAGUAGGGAAGAAGCGCAAGUGACGGUACCUACAGAAGAAGCACCGGCUAACUACGUG
rnacentral:rRNA from 1 species